AACCAUUCUCACCUGCGGCUAGACCUGCGGAGGGAUCAUUACAGGACUCGCAAGACUCCUUCAACCCCUGUGAACUUACUGUUUAUACGUUGCUUCGGCGGGUGCUCCGGGGUCCGCCCCGGGGCGCUGCGCCCGCCGGCAGCCUACCAAAUUCUGUUUCUCUGCGUUGGCAUCUCGAGAAAAGCAAAAUAAGUUAAAACUUUCAACAACGGAUCU
rnacentral:misc_RNA from 1 species